UUGACCUCGGAUCAGGUAGGGAUACCCGCUGAACUUAAGCAUAUCAAUAAGCGGAGGAAAAGAAACCAACAGGGAUUGCCUUAGUAACUGCGAGUGAAGCGGCAAAAGCUCAAAUUUGAAAUCUGGUACCUUCGGUACCCGAAUUGUAAUUUGGAGGCAUAUCUUCGGGGCUGGCGCUGUCCUAAGUUCCUUGGAACAGGACGUCAUAGAGGGUGAGAAUCCCGUGCCUGGAUGGCUGACCAGCUCCAUGUGAAGUGUGUCCUACGAGUCGAGUUGUUUGGGAAUGCAGCUCAAAAUGGGUGGUAAAUUUCAUCUAAAGCUAAAUAUUGGCGAGAGACCGAUAGCGCACAAGUAGAGUGAUCGAAAGAUGAAAAGCACUUUGAAAAGAGAGUUAAAAAGUACGUGAAAUUGUUGAAAGGGAAGCGCUUGCGACCAGACUCAAUCUUAGGUGAUCAACUGGGCUUCGGUUCGGUGCCAUUGCCUUUGAUUGGGCCAGCAUCAGUUUUGACGGUGGGAUAAAAGUUAGAGGAAUGUGGCUUCCUUUUGGAAGUGUUAUAGCCUCUUUCAUAAUGCCACCAGUUGGGACUGAGGACCGCGCUUCGGCUAGGAUGCUGGCGUAAUGGUCUUAAGCGACCCGUCUUGAACCACGG
rnacentral:rRNA from 1 species